UACAGAGGUCCCGAGCGUUUGUUCGGAUUCACUGGGCGUAAAGGGUGCGUAGGUGGUGAGGUAAGUCGGAUGUGAAAGCUCGGAGCUCAACUCCGAAAUGGCAUUGGAAACUACCUUGCUAGAGGGUUGGAGGGGGGACUGGAAUGCUUGGUGUAGCAGUGAAAUGCGUAGAUAUCAGGAGGAACACCUGUGGUGUAGACAGCUUACUGGACCACUUCUGACGCUGAGACACGAAAGCGUGGGUAGCAAACAGG
rnacentral:rRNA from 1 species